rnacentral:rRNA from 1 species
UACGUAGGGUGCAAGCGUUAUUCGGAAUUACUGGGCGUAAAGCGUGCGCAGGCGGCGAUGUAAGUCAGAUGUGAAAGCCCCGGGCUCAACCUGGGAACUGCGUUUGGUACUGGCAAGCUAGAGUACGGCAGAGGGGGGUGGAAUUCCACGUGUAGCAGUGAAAUGCGUAGAGAUGUGGAGGAACACCGAUGGCGAAGGCAGCCCCCUGGGCCGAUACUGACGCUCAGGCACGAAAGCGUGGGGAGCAAACAGG